GAUGAACGCUGGCGGCGUGCCUAAUACAUGCAAGUCGAGCGAACAGACGAGGCGCUUGCUCCUCUGUCGUGAGCCGCGGACGGGUGUGUAACACGUGGAUAACCUCCUUAUAAGUCUGGGAUCAUCUCGGGAAACCGGCGCUAAUACCGGAUAAUCUAUUGCAGCGCAUUGUUGAUUGGUGAGAGACGGUUUUGCUGGCUGUACUCGCUGGUUCCGCGCCGGUUGAGCUGGUUGGUACGGUGACGGCUUACGAGGGCGAGCAGGCGUGAGCGACGGGAGGGGCUGAUCGGCGACACGGGAACUGAGACACGGUCAAGACGACUACGGUACGCAGCAGAAGGCAAUGGUCGGCAAUGGGCGAAAGCCUGACGGAGCGACGCCGCGUGAGUGAUGAAGGUCUUCGGAUCGUAAAACUCUGUUAUGAGGGAAGAACAAAUGUGUAAGUAACUAUGCACGUCUUGACGGUACCUAAUCAGAAAGCCACGGCUAACUACGUG
rnacentral:rRNA from 1 species